AUAAUGUAGGCAACAACACAAGUUAGAAGUCUUGAUUAGUGAACCAAGUUCCAACAACUUGCCAUGCCAAAAAGAAAAUGGGAAAUGAUCUUGUAUUGGUUUAAGUCCUUUGCAUGAUUUAGGAAGUAACCUAUCCUUAAUGCAAAGCCAUUCACUUGAUCAUUUGAUCAAGAUGAAUUAGAUUUGAAUCAAGGAAGAUUAAAC
rnacentral:lncRNA from 1 species